UGUUCACCGCAGGUGGCUAUUUAAUAUUGC
rnacentral:piRNA from 1 species